rnacentral:rRNA from 1 species
GAUGAACGCUGGCGGCGUGCCUAAUACAUGCAAGUCGAGCGAACAGAUGAGGAGCUUGCUCCUCUGACGUUAGCGGCGGACGGGUGAGUAACACGUGGAUAACCUACCUAUAAGACUGGGAUAACUUCGGGAAACCGGAGCUAAUACCGGAGAAGAUAUUGAACCGCAGGGUGGAAUAGUGAAAGACGGUUGUGCGGGCACGUAUAGAUGGAUCCGCGCCGCAUUAGCUAGUUGGUAAGGUAACGGCUUACCAAGGCAACGAUGCGUAGACGACCUGAGGGGGUGGUCGCCCACACUGGAACUGAGACGCGGUCCAGGCUCCUGCGGGAGGCAGCAGUAGGCAAUCUUCCGCAGAGGGCGAAAGCCUUGCGCAGCGACGCCGCGUGUGUGAUGACGGUCUUCCGAUCGUAAAACUCUGUUAUUAGGGGAGAACCACUGUGUAAGUAACUAUGCACGUCUUGACGGUACCUGAUCAGAAAGCCCCGGCUAACUACGUG